GAUGAACGCUGGCGGCGUGCCUAAUACAUGCAAGUCGAGCGAACAGAUGAGGAGCUUGCUCCUCUGACGUUAGCGGCGGACGGGUGAGUAACACGUGGAUAACCUACCUAUAAGACUGGGAUAACUUCGGGAAACCGGAGCUAAUACCGGAUAAUAUAUUUAACCGCAUGGUUCAAUAGUGAAAGACGGUUUUGCUGUCACUUAUAGAUUGAUCCGCGCCGCAUUAGCUAGUUGGUAAGGUAACGGCUUACCAAGGCAACGAUGCGUAGCCGACCUGAGAGGGUGAUCGGCCACACUGGAACUGAGACACGGUCCAGACUCCUACGGGAGGCAGCAGUAGGGAAUCUUCCGCAAUGGGCGAAAGCUUGACGGAGCAACGCCGCGUGAGUGAUGAAGGUCUUCGGAUCGUAAAACUCUGUUAUUAGGGAAGAACAAAUGUGUAAGUAACUAUGCACGUCUUGACGGUACCUAAUCAGAAAGCCACGGCUAACUACGUG
rnacentral:rRNA from 1 species